GAACGUAUAGCUUAGUUAAUCAGAGCACUUGGACGGUUUCCAAGAGGCGCGGGUUCAAAUCCUGCUACGUUUU
rnacentral:tRNA from 1 species